rnacentral:rRNA from 1 species
GUCGAACGAAGGCCCUAGCUUGCUAGGUGUCCUUAGUGGCGCACGGGUGAGUAACACGUGGGAACAUACCUUAUAGUACGGAAUAACUGCGGGAAACUGUAGCUAAUACCGUAUAUUCCAGCAAUGGGAAAGAUUUAUCGCUAUAAGAUUGGCCCGCGCAAGAUUAGCUUGUUGGUGAGGUAAAAGCUCACCAAGGCUUCGAUCUUUAGCUGGUUUGAGAGGAUGAUCAGCCACACUGGGACUGAGACACGGCCCAGACUCCUACGGGAGGCAGCAGUAGGGAAUAUUGGACAAUGGGGGCAACCCUGAUCCAGCAAUGCAGCGUGAGUGACGAAGGCCUUAGGGUUGUAAAACUCUUUCAUCGGUGAGGAUAAUGACAGUAGCCGAAGAAGAAGGACCGG